AAAAGUUGAUACACAUGUAUCUAAGAUGUUAUCCCCAAGGGUUGGCUGUUCGAGAUAGGAUCACUCCCCCCCUGGUUUCCCAUAUUAAUUAUGGGGUUAAACAGCCCCUAAGAUUGCAGCCCCAAAGGUUGCGUUAAUGGGGGGCCAUGAGUAAUAGACGCACAAGGUGCCAGGAAAGAAUUAUUCUCCUUCGGGCCACCCGUUCGGGUGGGCAAGGGGCAUCGGUAAAUCGAAGGUGAGAACCCUGAUAGGGACCAUCUUUCGGCGCCGCACUGUACUAAACUAACUAAAGUGGGGGAUAGUGAGGGGAUAAAUUUUCUUAAGGAACUCGGCAAAAUCCCAAUAGCCCACCAGGGCAUAUAUUGUAACACGGGCCUCGACUGUUUACCAAAAACAUAGCCCUCGGCCAAUAUGAAAAUAGAAGUAUGGAGGGUGAGGCCUGCCCAAUGGUUGUAUCUAAAAGCGGUUGAUAAAAGUCGGCCUCGUAAGGACAAUUGAAUGGCCGCGGUAACACUGACCGUGAUAAUGUAGCGUAAUCAAUAGCCAAUUAAUUGUUGGCCAGUAUGAAUGGCGCCACGAAGGCCCCACUGUCUUAAGGAAAUUCCCAGUGAAAUUGAAUUCGUAGUGAAGAUGCUACGUCCAAUUUGUUAGACGAAAAGACCCCGUUGAGCUUUACUGGGGCACUUACACGGCCCCGGCCUUCAAGGCCCCCGCCUUCAAGGCCGAAUUUCAAUGGGCGGCUUAGACUAUGUGGCAGCCCCCGUCGGGGCAGAUGAAACCCCACUCCCCCAUGUCAAAGGGGCUAACCCCCCUUGGGGGGGACAAUGUAAGUAGGACAGUUUGGUUGGGGCGACCGCCUUUUAGAGAGUAACGAAGGUGCGCUUAAGGUGCGUAAUUAAUGACUGAAGCCUGACUGCGAGGGGACACCCGAGCAGACACCCCAAGCCCGCCCGCCCGAGCGCGAGCGGCGGUGGGUGGGCCAUAGUGACCCGUUAAUUUAGAGUGGAUAGUUACGAUCAACGAAUAAAGUUCCACGGGGAUA
rnacentral:rRNA from 1 species